rnacentral:tRNA from 1 species
GGAAGAAUGGCAGAGUGGCUGAAUGCGUCUGUCUUGAAAACAGAAGACGGGAAACCGUUCGGGGGUUCGAAUCCCUCUUCUUCCG